GCCUUUAAAAAAAACAUUUUUUUUUUUUAAAUUUUGUGAUAGGGUCUUGUUAAAUUGCUAGAUUGCUCAGGAUGGGCUCAAGCAUAUGAUUCUCUUGCCUCAGCCUUCCAGAGUGCUGAGAUGACCGGCAUGCUGGGAUUAUCACACAUUUUAGAUUUGCUUUGCACAGGUGCCUCUUUUGAAAUCUGCCACUUGGUCAUCGUUCUCUUGUGAACUCUCCAUUCACAUCACCAACUGUUGAUACUGAGUUGCUGGAUUUUCCCUGUUGAUCUGAAGGAAGUCCUCAGGUGGCACAGAUAUUGAUCCCCAACGGUUGAUGAGUGACAGUCGUGGGCCACACACUUGGAGAUGGAAUCAACUCAUCCUGGCCCAGGUGUUUAAGGAGAUGGUCUCUGGAUGGCAAGGGACAUUUGCAUUGUGGUUCCAGGACACAGCUCUUAUGUGACACUGUGGACAGUAGCCAGCAUCCUUCCCACCGCCUGUGCCACCAGGAAGCUCUGCAGGUAGAACUUUCCAGAUCAGAGACCCCCAGGUGCCCCACUGGCUCCGGCAACAACAGAGGCACUGCUGAUUUGCAUAUUCUGCAUAAUUUUGCAUAAAACAUUGACAAGUCUCAGAGCCUGUAAAAUAAAACUAA